UACGGAGGAGGCAAGCGUUAUCCGGAAUUAUUGGGCGUAAAGCGUCCGUAGGUGGUUUAGUAAGUCUGCUGUUAAAGCGCGGGGCUUAACUCCGUAUCGGCAGUGGAAACUACUAGACUAGAGUGUGGUAGGGGUAGAGGGAAUUCCCAGUGUAGCGGUGAAAUGCGUAGAUAUUGGGAAGAACACCGGUGGCGAAGGCGCUCUACUGGGCCAUAACUGACACUGAGAGACGAAAGCUAGGGGAGCGAAUGGG
rnacentral:rRNA from 1 species